GAUGAAGAACGUAGCGAAAUGCGAUAAGUAAUGUGAAUUGCAGAAUCCAGUGAAUCAUCGAAUCUUUGAACGCACAUUGCGCCCGCCAGCAUUCUGGCGGGCAUGCCUGUCCGAGCGUCAUUUCAACCCUCAAGCACUGCUUGGCGUUGGGGCGCUACGCGCUGAGCGUAGGCCCCUAAAAUCAGUGGCGGACCCGCUGUGGCUCCGGGCGUAGUAGCAACACCUCGCCCUUGGACCGCGGCGCGUUCCGGCCGUUAAACCCCCCACUAUAUCGAAGGUUGACCUCGGAUCAGGUAGGAAUACCCGCUGAACUUAAGCAUAUCAAUAAGCGGAGGA
rnacentral:misc_RNA from 1 species